ensembl:snoRNA SNORA74 Small nucleolar RNA SNORA74
CCCAGCAGCAGUCAGCUGUCGGGACGGCCAUUCCUGUGACAGUGUUGCUCUGCUGGGAGAGGAAGGCUCUGUCCUCUGCUCCAGUCGCCUCCGCCGCUGUCCUGGUGGCGUCCGGCACUGGUGAGGGCAGGGCCGUGCUCCCCUGAGAGUGUGCUAAGCGCUCCCCGUGGCUGCUUAGCGCUGGUGUGGGAGCAGACACA